GUUAAAAAUGUGUUUGAAGGCAGUAUGCUUGGUAAAAGUCAUCGCCAUUCUCUAAUCUCGAGUACCCAGGGACACAAUACACUGCGGAAGGCCACAGGGACCUCUGCCCAGGAAAGCCAGGCUUGCAUUAAGGAAAUGAUUUCCUAUGAUUCUGCUUACUGCUUAAAAAAAUUAAUCAAGUUUUCUGCCUGACAAGAUUCAGUAUCUGUUGGAGGAGCCCCAACUUCUGCUACUAUUAUGUUCUUCAGAUGAGUAGAAGAGAGUGGGGAGGGAGAGAGCAGGAAGAGGAAAGGAAGAAUAAUGUCUUGAAAUUGUUUUCUAAGGAUAAUGGUCUCCAGCUUCAUCCAUGUUCCUGCAAAGGACAUGAUGCUGACUUUGAAGAUGCAAGCUUCCACAUCUACAGCCUCAAGGAAACAAAUUCAGCCAACCACCUGAGGGAGCUUUCCUUGUCCUGCCUCAGGAUGAGAUUACAGUCUGUCCAACACCAUGAUUUAAGCCUUGUGACACCUGGUAUGGAAGACCCAGUUAAGUUCUUUCCAAACUCUUGACCCACAGAACCUGUGAGAAAAUACAUGGAUAUUAUUUUAAACUGCUAAAUUUGUGGUAAUUUGUUAUGCAGCAAUAAAAAAAACUAAUGCAAGGAGAUAUAAAUUGUUGUAAAAAUCUUAGCUUUUGUUUUAAAAUAUAGUUCACCAAUAGUAAGUUACUAAUAAGUAACUAAACAAAUAAAGCAAGCCAUUUACAAAUCAAUAAUAAGUGUAAGUCAUGAACUAAAGAUUGUAAUUAAUCAAUUUCUGUACGCCUGUAAUGAAAAUAAAGGAGGAAAAGAAAA
rnacentral:lncRNA from 1 species